CAGCUGCAUACCGUUGAUAUUGCCACGUGUACUUUUUACAGCGCAGCUGUAUAUGGCUCGGAUCCGGGGUUUCGUGGCGCAGAAACAAUCAUCAUAUGGGUGACCCUGGUGAUAGUGCAGAAAGAGUCCAAGCUGAAUGGCACACGCCCCUGUGGGCUCGGGAACCUGUAACACGCCCUUGAACUACACUUGCCACGCCUGGGACGCAAAGAGAUUCCAGGCACAAGGAGCCUCUGUCAACGAACCUGAGGAUGGCAUGUGAUGGACGUCCCCAUUAUAUAUUUAUUAUGCACGAUUAUGCCUGCACCGUAGCAAGAAAGCGUCUACUCAAAGAUCAGCGUAUGCACCAGCAGCGCACAGCGUUCGUUCCAGCAGUGAAACGGAGAACGCUGCCCUGGCUCCUGCUGCCGCCGAUGGAGCGAAGCGCGAUGGUGCGUCCACUUGGCUUCGUCGUUCUCGCAGCCAGACGCACUGCGAAAACCUCAUAAUCCUCCGGGUGUGGGCCGCGUACCGUGACAGAACGA